AUCUCUAUGUGGAGAUCCUUCCUCUUGGAGCUCUUCUGUGAGCCCAGGAUAUGGAUGUUGUGAAAUGGCUUUAUUAUCUUCCAUAUAUGAAAAUUGCAAGAAUGAACACUCAUCAAAUAUACAAGCCUUUAAUGUUAAGAAGCACAAGAAAUUCUUACAGUCAUAUUUGUUUAACUGUCUUCCAAAACUUCAGAUAUAAAAUAUCUUUGUUAUAUUAUUGUUGAAAUGGAUUUGAAUUUCCUCUUUUUGUAUUUUCUUAAAUUUUCCAAUUUCACUCUGUGAACCCUUUGCAUAUUGUUAGCAAUGCAGCAACAGCUCUUAGAUUUAAGCUAGUAUUUUGGAGAUGCGGGAGGACAAGAGUAGUUGGCAAAGAAUAGUUAUGAUAAAUUAUUUUAGACUGUGCUGCUCAAAAAUUUCCUGUAUAUGAUGAAAAUCCAUUAUUUUAAUUAUACCUGUUUCUUUCCAGAAAACUUUUGCAUGGUUUCUUACUGUGAAAUCCUUCUGAUUUAGCCCCCUUUUGUUUAAAUGUGAAAUAGGAUAAAAAGAAAAUUCUAAGGGAUGGUAGAAGGAGAUUAUCUAGGUGUUGUUUUUGUUUAUAUUUUGUGUUUUGGGUUGCUUUUUCUGCUUCUCUCACAAUACCAUUUUACUUAAUAAUUCUCUAGCUGAAUGCACGGAUUGUCAUUGGGCAAUUUAUUCAACUCUUAAUGAUUUUUGUUAUUCCAUACAUGAGAACAUAUGCUGUCUGCUUUACAAAAAUUCUACCUCCCCAAAAUAAUGUAAUUAAAAAAGCAUGUUCAUCCU
ensembl:lncRNA